CUUGGAGCGGGUACCACCACCGUCCUCCAGCUUUUACCGCGCUUUUUUUGAUUUUUCUUCUCCACCCCCUCGCUCCCAGAAGCUUCCGAUUCCGGUUGAGCUCCGGAAGUCCCUUGGCAACUUGAGGAUGGCACCCUACGAAGGAAAGGGAGGGCUGGGAUGGAGUGGUGGAGGUGGGGGAUGUCGAGGCCCAGUAUGAGUCCGUAAGGCGGGCUAGUAGUUGUCCUUUCAGACCCCCGAUCUGAAAAGCCGCGAGGUUUUAGUUCGAGAUCCCGUGAAGCUGAGAAAUCUCGCGAGAAGUCAAUUGCGGCUCCACUGGCGUAGGGGGCGGUGGGGUAGCAUGGGGUCCCUGUUCGUCUGUGGGCCCUCUUUGCGUUUCCUUCCUUGGCCUUCACCGUGGGUGGCCAGUUGUUUCUUUGUGCGUCAUCUUCUUCCUGAGAAAUGGUCGCUUUCCCCUAGUCUAGACACGACUUCAACUCUAAGAAUACAAGCAAUGGAUAAUUUGGGUAAAUGUUUUGUCCUGCAUUUUCACAUCUAAUUUCAUAUCCCCAAAACUUUUGACUUUUUUAAAAGUGCUAUCCAUUGUUUCUGAAUCGAAUUUUAUAGAUACUACUACUACUACUAAGUCAUUUCAGUCGUGUUCGACUCUUGUGUGACCUCAUAGACAGAAGCCCACCAGGCUUCCCUGUCCAUGGGAUUCUCCAGGCAAGAACACUGGAGUGGGUU
rnacentral:lncRNA from 1 species